AUUGAACGCUGGCGGCAGGCCUAACACAUGCAAGUCGAGCGGAUGAAGGGAGCUUGCUCCUGGAUUCAGCGGCGGACGGGUGAGUAAUGCCUAGGAAUCUGCCUGGUAGUGGGGGAUAACGUCCGGAAACGGGCGCUAAUACCGCAUACGUCCUGAGGGAGAAAGUGGGGGAUCUUCGGACCUCACGCUAUCAGAUGAGCCUAGGUCGGAUUAGCUAGUUGGUGGGGUAAAGGCCUACCAAGGCGACGAUCCGUAACUGGUCUGAGAGGAUGAUCAGUCACACUGGAAGUGAGACACGGUCCCGACUCCUACGGGAGGCAGCAGUGGGGAAUAUUGGACGAUGGGCGAAAGCCUGAUCCAGCCAUGCCGCGUGUGUGAAGAAGGUCUUCGGAUUGUAAAGCACUUUAAGUUGGGAGGAAGGGCAGUAAGUUAAUACCUUGCUGUUUUGACGUUACCAACAGAAUAAGCACCGGCUAACUUCGUG
rnacentral:rRNA from 1 species